GACGAACCGUACGAACGUUAUUCGGAAUCACUGGGCUUAAAGGGUGCGUAGGCGGCGCGACAAGUUGGGCGUGAAAUCCCUCGGCUCAACCGAGGAACUGCGCCCAAAACUGUCGUGCUCGAGGGAGACAGAGGUGAGCGGAACUUAGGGUGGAGCGGUGAAAUGCGUUGAUAUCCUAAGGAACACCGGUGGCGAAAGCGGCUCACUGGGUCUCUUCUGACGCUGAGGCACGAAAGCUAGGGUAGCGAACGGG
rnacentral:rRNA from 1 species